rnacentral:misc_RNA from 1 species
AACGCACAUUGCGCCCGCCAGUAUUCUGGCGGGCAUGCCUGUUCGAGCGUCAUUUCAACCCUCAAGACUUCUUUCGGGAAGACUUGGUGUUGGGGGACCGGCUGGUGCCUUUUAGGCCUGUCGCCCCCCGAAAUUUAGUGGCGGUCUUGCUGCAGCCUCCUCUGCGUAGUAACUUCUACCUCGCAUACGGAGCGUGGUGCGACCCCGCCGUAAAACAACCCAAACUUUUGAAAUUGUUGACCUCGAAUCAGGUAGGAAUACCCGCUGAACUUAA